GCGGGGGUAGCUCAGUUGGUUAGAGCGCCAGAUUGUGGAUCUGGAGGCCGUGGGUUCGAGACCCUCCCCCCGUA
rnacentral:tRNA from 1 species